rnacentral:rRNA from 1 species
UACGUAGGGGGCAAGCGUUGUCCGGAAUCAUUGGGCGUAAAGCGCGUGUAGGCGGACUGGAAGGUCUGGUGUGAAAGCCCGGGGCUCAACCCCGGAGGGUCACUGGAAACCGACAGUCUUGAGUCCGGAAGAGGAGAGUGGAAUUCCUGGUGUAGCGGUGGAAUGCGCAGAUAUCAGGAGGAACACCUAUGGCGAAGGCAGCUCUCUGGUACGUGACUGACGCUGAGACGCGAAAGCGUUGGGGAGCGAACAGG